UGAGUCAGAGUCAGAGUCAGAGUCGGGCCCAAUGCUUUUUGGACCUCAGCGAAAGUAUGCCCUUUUUUGUAUGCCCUCGAAUGGUGGUAGUAAGUAACCGUAACCGUAACCGUAACCAUACGAGUUGCCCCAAAAGAUCGAUCAUCAUUUGUUUAGCUCCGAGUGGCUCCCGUUUAUGUCGCUGUCCAGAUGCAGAUAGAAAACACUGCGAGCGCUAAGUAAACUAACUGUAAUGCAAAGACCGCUCGGAGGAGAGACGAAGGGAUAGUGCGAUUGAAAUACCGUUCAUUUGGAAAUGUAAUGAAAUGUAACAAGGUGAGUAGAGAGGAAGGGUAAGAGGUAGAGUAGGAGCCCAGGUGGAAAAAUAAAAGCCAAGAAAAGCCAGAAGAAAAAAAAAAAGAAAAAGCCAAGCCUGACGAACGACUCUGGAUUCAACUGGGCAAUGCGACCACAAGAUUGUAAUCAACAUGCCAUUAAAACAUCUUUUCGAAGAUGUCGAAGUCGUCGAUGACAAUGACGAAGUGCGACGCACGAAACGAAUCGCUUGAUCGUUCGAUGGAAUGGUGGAAAGUCUUCCAGCUUCAAGCCCUUUAAUUUCGCUUUGGCAUUCAAAUGCAGCGCAAACAAAGAUGAACCACCACCACCACAAGGCGGCAAGGCAAGAGAGACGACGAGGGAGCAACAAAGUUUCUUCAUUACGGAAUGGUUAAGUGUUUUGGAUGAGUACACGCCCUGAUUUUCGUAUUGCAAGCGCGUGCGAUCAGGCAAAGCACUCGAAGUUGAGUUUUUUUCUUCUUUUUUUUUUUUUGUUGUAAGCCAAGUUAGCGGCAGCUGUGGAAUUGCCCGCGGCUAUUGAUCUGCUAGAAAUCAAAAGUCUUUUUAUGUAUGCUUCAAAAGCUGAUACAAUAAUUAAUGACUUGGUAAGUUUAGGGUCCCCAGCAGCAUAGAUCAACAGUUGCUAGGCGGUAGCUCUUCAUACGAUUGAUCUACUCCGACAUCAAACCCAAUGAUAAGAUCUUCAGAUGAACUCUCAUGACUCAGAUGGCUCAUUAGGCACUCGACAUGUUAAAGAUUCUACUCAAUACAAUUUCGAAGUGCUAAACUGUAAUGAAAAUUGGUACUAGAGAACGAUCUCUCUUAAUAACUAGACAAAGUUAAUACCUAUAUUUACGUUUUCGUAUUGAAAGGGGGGGUUGAGGUGUUGGAAAAACUAAAACUACUCAAUUGAAUGUUAAUACGAGCGAGAGUUUACAAAUUCCUAAAAGAAAAGUUACUUCUAAGUAACUCAUAUGACAUUGUGCAACACUUGUGCAAAAACCAUCAACUAUGACAGCUCAAUAUUCUGUGACUAGCUCCCUCGCAAAACUAGUAGUAGAUAAAAUUUCCUUUCAACACUUACCUUGGUGCAAUUCUCGCAGGAAUAUUUUCGUAUGUUAUUGUGUGCUAUAGCUCCGUGCUUGAUCAGCAGAGGUCGAUGGCAAAAACGUAGGGAGCAAAGCUCACAGGCAAAUUCACCGCGUUUGAAAUGAUGUGCGCCCACCAGAUGAUCGUCCAAGCUGGAAACAAAGCAAAUGAAAUUAGCAUUCUGACAUUUUCGGCGACCCACAAAACAAAAAGGAGAAAAGGAAAGAAUGGAAAUAAAGGCGGCCGAGUGUCUCAAUCAAAGUUGUCAUGUGUGGCAGUUCACACGCCCAGGAGAGGCUACCCACCAAUCCCCCCGGCUCUAAGUUUAGUAUGUUUGUUGCCCAACUGGGAACGUCGAGCGUCAAUUAGUCAAAUGAUGUUCAAUAUUUAAUAUGCUCAAAUGAUAAGCGAUCUUUGGGAACAGCUGUGACCAAUGAAUGGUCGCAUUCCUUGCGUCCACGUGUCCUUGAUUGUGGGUACAAGAUGCUUAUCGUUGGCAGGCAGCGACGGCGGCGUGUGGGAGGAGCAAAUGUCGACAAGAGGCGGCAACGUUGCCUUUUGCUUUGCCUGGCUUUGAUUUGCUUUGCUUUAGUUUUGCCGUUUGCCAUUGUCAUCGACAUGGAAGAGUUGACGAUAUGGACAACACAGACACUCACACACACACACACACGUACAGUGGGGCCCAGGUCUCAAUCCCAGUCCCAAUCUGCAUUUGAAGUGUGGGCGUUUGUUUGCUUACAACAACAACAAAAGCAACAGCAACAAACUAUGCAUGUUCAACAUCAGAUAAAUGGCAAAAGCCAGGCCAAACCUGGACACGCAGACACCGCCGAACCGGGGCCAUAGCUUCCUUUCCAUCAUUGGUGGCACAGAGGUUGCUGCUGCUUCUCAUGUAAAAUUCAAUAAAUCACACACAUUCACGAAUAUAA